GUUUUGCGUUCUCUAAACACGCGCGCGCACCGUGUCCAAGAAUAUAAUAAUAUAUGUAUGUUUGUUCGUGUGUGUGUGUGUGUAUGUCUCUAUAUAUAUGCGUGAGUGUAUGCAAGAUCUGAUAAUUUGCACACCUCACGCACCAACACCAGCAGAACGGCCAACACAAUGCAAUCGAUCAGUUCACAACACUGGUCACACACACACACAUAUACACAGUGCGAGAAAAAGAGAGAUAGAGAGCGGCGUGAGUUAUGUUAUCGAUAAUUCAUCUAAUUCGCGGUUCACGAACGUCUGUCUAUUUGCACCGUGCGGCGUACAGGAACUGACUGAAUUAAGAGGGCGGCUGCUGUGGCAGCUGAUGCUGCGCUGGCUACUGCUGCUGCCGUGAAAUCGAAAUCUGAACAACAACUGAUAAUCCAAUUUGAAAAUAAUAUAAAUACUAAAAAAAA